GUGUUCACUUCAGCAGCACAUAUACAGAAAUUAUAACAAUACAGAUAUUAGCAUGGCCCCUGUCCGAGGAAAACAUGCAAAUUAGUGAAAUAUUCCAUAUGUGU
ensembl:snRNA U6 U6 spliceosomal RNA